UCUUAGGAUCGCUAGGGUUCCGGUCGGCGCGCAGUUUGUGGAGUGUGCCGAUGCCUGGUCCGAGAGCAAUCCGGUCUCGUCUCCCACCUUGCACGCAAGGCGGCGAUGAGGCUCCACGGAGGGAUAAAAGCCCGGGAGGU
rnacentral:sRNA from 2 species